AUACUCUAGUUUUCCUUCAAAUCGUAUAAAUCUUUCGCCUUUUACUAAAGAUUUCCGUGGAGGGAAACAGUUUUGAGUCUUUAAAAAAUUUUUUGAGGCUUCGUGUUUCGCGAAGCU
ensembl:snRNA U5 U5 spliceosomal RNA